rnacentral:rRNA from 1 species
UACGUAGGGUGCGAGCGUUGUCCGGAAUUAUUGGGCGUAAAGAGCUUGUAGGCGGUUUGUCGCGUCUGCUGUGAAAAUCCGGGGCUCAACCCCGGACUUGCAGUGGGUACGGGCAGACUAGAGUGUGGUAGGGGAGACUGGAAUUCCUGGUGUAGCGGUGAAAUGCGCAGAUAUCAGGAGGAACACCGUAGUGCGAAGGCGGUCUCUGGGCCGAUACUGACGCUGAGAAGCGAAAGCUGGGGAGCGAACAGG